rnacentral:rRNA from 1 species
UACGUAGGUGGCAAGCGUUGUCCGGAAUUAUUGGGCGUAAAGCGCUCGUAGGCGGUCUGUCGCGUCUGGUGUGAAAACCCGAGGCUCAACCUCGGGCUGGCAUCGGGUACGGGCGGACUAGAGUGCUGUAGGGGAGACUGGAAUUCCUGGUGUAGCGGUGGAAUGCGCAGAUAUCAGGAGGAACACCGAUGGCGAAGGCAGAUCUCUGGGCCAUUACUGACACUGAGAAGCGAAAGCAUGGGGAGCGAACAGG